GGAUAAACAGGAAAUACAAAUAAAACACUUUAUGUAACUUGAUGGUUGUGUCAGCGGAGAGUGAAACACUGAUGGCUCAUUUCUACAUUCAGACACAAAGUUGAUCAUGUGAUCACAAAAGUCCGUAGGGGGUCUGGUAGUAGCAGACAGUCCUAAAGGAAGGAAUGAGAAUAGAGGAACGGCGUGCAUACACAGCUGUGCCCAAUCAGGGCAAUCAGCGGAGUGGGCGGCAUCUUCAACAAGAAGACUGGCGGUGUGUGGCCCGGCAAUUCCAGAGCAAGGGAGCACGGCUGACGCUGAGUGACUUUGAUCGUCUGGUAUCAUUAAUUCAGUACAAAAUUUACAAUUGUGAUGGAGGGACACUUUGGUCUGUUGUAAUCAUGAUGCUAAUUAGGGUGAUUGUGUCACCCUAAUUGUCUCUUUAACUUGUGUACAUGGAUUUUAAUACUGUGGGUGUUUUAAUUGUACAGUUCUGGAUUUUGACAUUAGCUGCUCCUGUUGAUUUAAAUUUAUGGUUUUUAAAUGACAUUUGUUUCUCUACACCAGCUGGCUCUUUUAAAGGAGAUUUUAGCCACAUGCUAGUUUUUACUUUUGCACCUCUGUGUGGGUCAUCAUAUUGUGAUAGACUAAAAUGAGCCAUUCGGUUGACUUAGUACAUGCUUCAUGACCUUUUCUUUUUUACCAAUGUUAGCACUGUCAUUAUAGUUACUGAAGUCUGUAAUUACUGAGGUAAAUCUGUGCUUGUCUUCUGUUCAAAGAGUGUAGCAAAAAAUGUUUGUAUAACUGA